AAAUAAGAAAAUACAACAAAAAUUUCUAAAAUGAAGUCAGUAUAAAUUGUUGUUUUGCUUCUCUGUGGGAUAUUAUCACUCAUAAUCUUUUUAACAUUUAACAUAGUACAUUAAAAUGAAAUGGUUUCAGGUCAUACUGAUAAACCCAAGUAGUCCACAUUAAAAUUGUUUCUUUCUAGCAGAUGAGUGACUUACAGAAAAUGACACCACUGUAAUGUGAGACAAGUUGGAAACAGAAAAAAUGGAGGAUUUCAAAUAACUACUCACCUUUUGAAGCCGUGUCUUCAUUUGUCUUUACUUCUUAACAAAAUAGCACUGUUAACACUGAAAUAACAAUGGGAGCAGCUGAAGGUGAACCCGUGAGAAAGGAAUAAGUUAGGGGAGAGCCAAUAUUCUACUAUCUUCCCUUUCCCUAAUCCAUGUAUUUGAAUGGUGGGAAUUAUUAACAGCAGUUUUACAUACCUGCAAAAUGUUUUCUUGCCUUGUUCUGAUGACAUCAAGCUAUGGGUCCAGCCUGAUGAGAAUUUUCCUUGAACUGCUCUGCUAUCUGCCAAGAAUCCCUAGUGUGGGUCCUCUUCUGCUUCUCCAUCAGUACUUUGGAAGCUGUGUGUAUGUACUGUUAAGAUUUUUGCAGACUGAGGAAUAUACACAAGAGAAGAAAAACAGUUUAAAAUCUUAGAAGACAUGACUGAAAUAUCACGAGAUUUUAAAGGACAGGACUCGGGCAAAAAGUACAGG
rnacentral:lncRNA from 1 species